rnacentral:rRNA from 1 species
CCUACGGGGGGCAGCAGUGGGGAAUAUUGGACAAUGGGCGCAAGCCUGAUCCAGCCAUGCCGCGUGAGUGAUGAAGGCCCUAGGGUUGUAAAGCUCUUUCAGUCGUGAAGAUAAUGACAUUAGCGACAGAAGAAGCCCCGGCUAACUUCGUGCCAGCAGCCGCGGUAAUACGGAGGGUGCAAGCGUUAUUCGGAAUCAUUGGGCGUAAAGCGCGCGCAGGCGGCCAUGCAAGUCUGACGUGAAAUCCCGGGGCUCAACCUCGGAAUAGCAUUUGAAACUGGCAGACUAGAGUACUGUAGAGGGGGGUAGAAUUUCAGGUGUAGCGGUGAAAUGCGUAGAGAUCUGAAGGAAUACCGGUGGCGAAGGCGGCCCCCUGGACAGAUACUGACACUCAGAUGCGAAAGCGUGGGGAGCAAACAGGAUUAGAUACCCCUGUAGUC